UGGCCGAUGGAGACUAUUUAGCCGCGCCCGCGGCCCCUCCCACGUGACCGUCCCGCGCCGAGCAUCCUGGGACUUGUAGUUUUCUGGAGGCAGCAGAGCCCGGAAAGCCUGAGGCCGGGGGCGGCCGAGACCGCAAUUCCCGUCACGGAGUGCGUCCUCUAGCGCGGGGCGGAAGACCCGCGAAGUGUUCAAGCGGCCGCAGAGCGGCCCAGAGUUCGCAGGUCUGGGGCUCUCUUCCCAGAGAGCUCGUAGGGGAGGACAGUCAAGGGACUCAAGCGUCUCUCUUGACUCCCCUUCUCUCGCUGUGCAGUGGCGGCGCCGAGGGGUCGACGCUCAGGGCUAAUCUCUAUGAGUCACCCUCGAGGCCCCGGGUAAUAUUGGGUGGAUCACAAGAACUAAUCUUUCAUGAUUUGGAAACCGGAAGGAAAGAAGCACUUUUGUAGCUGACUUACCUCAAUGACAUGACCAGUGUCUGAGCCUACAACUGCGCUAUCUUCCCUGGAUUUUUCUUCACCUUUUCCUUACUCAUGAGCCAGGUAUCCCGGAAGCCUGAAGGGAAAGGUUCAAGUCCAGGCUUCCAUUAAAACCCCACUAAUAGACUUGUUCUGCCAUCAAUCAGCCACAGACCUGUACUGCAAGAUGCCUACUACACACCCAGUGCUGAGCUGUGGAAAAUCCAGAACACACGUGACCACAGACAAUCAUGAAGGCGCUGAUAAUAGCAGCUUCUCAAAGGGAAAAUUGUGUCCGGGACCCGCUGGGUACAUAACAGAUUUCUCUUUAUUCUCAGAUUCAGGCUUCUUUGCUUGGGGCAGCUCCCCAGGAGUAUAAGUAUGAAUGGGGGGGAAGAUAGAGCAUAUACUUCUUCCUUCCUGAUAUUGUUGACAAAAGUAUGCUGUUUACAUAUUGAAAAUCAUGGGAUGGUGUGAACUCACAGGGAGAGGACAGGAGGGAGCCUCCUUGAUCAAAUGUCUAAGAUAAAAAUGAAGGUUGCAGUAACAAAGAGCCAGCUGAUAACCUUGUUCCUCCUGUAAGGUGCCUGCACCCCUGCCAGGCAUAUGAUCUGGGUGGUUACACUGUUAAGCCAGGAGAGGUGCUCACCCAAGGGUAUGUGUCAGUAUCCUUGAUGGUGUUUCCCAAACUACAGCCACACGGUUCUCUCCCAACUCCUUCCCUAAAAGGUAGAUUCAAGCCGGGGGAAGGUGGACAUAUCUUGUGAAGUGUUGAAUAUGGAAAUUCAAAACAUAUGUUACAUUCAGGGAGGGGCUUCCAUUAGGCCCUAUUUUUAUAUAAAAAUCUAGAAAUAAAUAAUAUUCUUCUAUUUGCUUCAAAAAAACAAAGAAAUGCUUAAGUUCUCUUUACAUUGAUGUCAAAGCAUAGCCAUGAGUUAUGCUGUGCAGGAGGCAGGUGUUUGGCAAGACAGAUUUUUUUCUGACAAAACAAAUAAAAUCCUGAGAGGUAUUUGUUUUAGUAAACCAAAGGGAAAUCCUAUGAGACUCUGGCUUGUGCCUCUAAAUGUCUUCCUCAGUGAAAACAGCCCAUGGUCAUGCCUGUGUCCUGGGUGGACUGAGUUCGUUCCAGUGAGCUGAUGAGCCAGGCGGGAGAUUCCCCUUGGGAAGGGUCAUGGUUGUUUAUUUGAAGCUGCUUUCAGCCAGUACUUGGCCGAGGAGUGUGGAUGAAUGAAACGCCUCUGUUGUCCUGCUGCUGAAACGGGAACACUAUUGCCUGUCAUCACUGUUGUGCCCACUGUUUUGGCUUAUGAUACAAGAGCCCACUGUCCUACAUCUCUAAUGAUACACAGAGCAUCUCUGGUCUCUAGGAGGUGGGAGGGACACUACUUCCAGCUUUAACCAUAUGCAUGACAAGGAGAUCCAGUGACCAUCUGGUGGGGAAGCAGGCAUUCCAUCUCCGGAGCUUCCCAAGGAAACAGGAGACAAUGGAGUGCAGGAAAUGCUCAGAACCAGGAAACCUGCAACCACUUAGUUCCAGUGGCUUGGGGUAGCUAGGAUUCCGUUUAUUCCUUUGUAAAAUGGGGAUAAUGCAGGGUGCUCUCAUGUGGAGCUAAGGAAACAAUAUGUGAAAGCCCGUUGCAUAUAAAAUUUAUAUAAAGAAAAAAAAAAAAAAA
rnacentral:lncRNA from 1 species